rnacentral:lncRNA from 1 species
GUCAGAGCAGCUUUCAUAUCUAGGGCCCUCACUCAAUUCUGUACUCCCUCCCUGCUAGCUGCACUAGUCUCCUCUGACUUAACAGGAAGCCUUCCUUCCCCCAGGUUCCCCUCAGGCAUGUCCCACCCCCCUUCCCGGUCUUGAGACAGGCUGUCUGAACUUCCUCCCUACGGACACUCUGUGCUGCCUUCUCUCAACUUUUUCCAGCAGAAAGUUGGGAGCUCCUCAGAGCUGAGCAGCACCUGUAGUGUUGCCAUUUGCAGGGAGAGGCACCGGAGGACCCCAACAGCUCACCCUCCAUCAAAGGUUAUCAGGGAACUGGGAGCCUGGGCGGAGGUAGGGGAAGGCAGAGAGAAAGAGUCCUUGUCUAGAUUUCCUAGUCUGUGCUUAACUCAGAACAGCUGGGUAUCUUUAGAGGCCCUUGGAGGGGUUCAGAGUUGUUGGGAAGAAACUAGCCAGGAACUGAAAAUUCAGGUAUGGGGGAGAAGCAGUAGAGCCAGAGUUCAGAGGUGAGAAGUGAGAGGGCACACUCUUGAUUGCCACACCCUGCCUUUUUCUCGGACCAAGGAAGGAGACAACAUAGGAGGGAGCAAGAGCACCACUCUGCCCUCACUCAGCAUUCUAGGAUGCUUGUGAGGUGCCAUGGUUCCCUGGCCUUCUGCUUCCUGCUUGUCCUGCUUGAAACUCCAGGUAAGUGACGUGGUGCCUUUCAGCUGCCUGGGAAUCCAUGU